CUCAGCUCAGUGCAACCUCCGCCUGCUGGAUUCAAGCGAUUCUCGUGCCUUAGCUUCCUGAGUUUCUGGGAGUACAAAUGCGUGCCACCACACCAAGCUAAUUCUGUGUAUGUAUUUGUAUUUUUUUUAGUACAGAUGGGGUUUUACCAUGUUGGCCAGGCUGGUCUUGAACUCCCAACCUCAGGUGAUCCACCUGUCUCGGCCUCCCAAACUGCUGGGAUUACAGGCAUGAACCACUGCACCUGGCUGACCCUUUGUUUUUCUUAUCACAUCUGACACUUUACUCAUAUAUUUUUUCUUGGGCUUCAGAAUGACGGAUAAACUUUAUUGACUCAUGCAUGGCACUACUUGUGUAUUUAAUUAGCUAGUUGUGUGUUUGUUUUUGAUAGAUAGCUGUAAACUCACCAUUCAACAUAGAAACUAGAAGCAUAAAUCAUAUAUUAUGUGUGUGCACACGUAUACAUAUACACUAUAUAUGUGUAUAGAUAUAAUUUUAAAAUUAAAAUAUAAAUAAUUUUUUUCCAUCACUCCAGACU
rnacentral:lncRNA from 1 species